rnacentral:rRNA from 1 species
CCCUAGUAACGGCGAGUGAACGGGGAAAAGCCCAGCGCUGAAUCCUAUGACCACUGGUCAUUAGGAAAUGUAGCGUAUAGGUGUAACUAUUCRAUAAUUUUUUCACUUACCCUAAGUUCCCUUGAGUGGGGCAAUAGUCCAUAGAGGGUGCUAGGCCUGUACGGGUAGUGAAGUUAUUGAUAUUGGUUACACCUUGGAGUCGAGUUGCCUGGGAACGCAGCUCAAAGUAGGUGGUAAACCUCAUCUAAGGCUAAAUAUGACUACGAGACCGAUAGCGAACAAGUACCGUGAGGGAAAGUUGCAAAGAACUUUGAAGAGAGAGUUCAAGAGGGCGUGAAACCGCUGAGAAGGAAGCGGAUAGAGUUAACGAAACACAAUGGCAUUCAUCUAAUUAGGUGCUAUUUGGUACACYRUAUUAUUUGUAUUAUCAUUUUCGAAUGAUAGUCAAUAGUAUGGUAAUAGCUGAAUACUUGAUUGGUGCUUUUGCCAUUGGUAUGCGCUGAGAGGUUCGCUAUGAUACGUUGAUAUCAAUGCAACAGAGGACUAUACUUGUAUAAGUGUAGAAACCUUUAGUGAUUGAGGCGUAUUCAUGGUGAAUUGCUGUUUCGCAGUUAUAUCGCAUGCUUAUUAGCGCAAUUGGUUAUUAUGUGACUAUAGUUUACUGUUGAGCGGUCGCAUGCGACUUGCUUAUAGUUGAACUAUGGUYCAUUGAUAGCCUGCUUAUUAAUUGCGUUGGCGAUAUAUCUUGGUGUAAAAGUUGACCACCUAUCCGACCCGUCUUGAAACACGGACCAAGGAGUUUAGCAUAUACGCAAGUCAUUGGGUAGUAAACCUAAAGGCGUAAUGAAAGUAAAGAUUGCAUUUAAUGCAAUUAAUAUGGGAUCUACAUUGUUAGUGGCACGCAAGGCUACAAAACAAUGUAGCGCACCAUAGUCCCGUCCCCGUUGCUUGCAAUAGGGCGGAGAUAGAGCGUAUACGCUGAGACCCGAAAGAUGGUGAACUAUGCCUGAGCAGGAUGAAGCCAGAGGAAACUCUGGUGGAAGUCCGAAGCGAUUCUGACGUGCAAAUCGAUCGUCUGACUUGGGUAUAG